rnacentral:lncRNA from 1 species
CUUCUAUUUCAAAUUUAUCAUAAUAGCUUAUUUUUUAUAUCAGGUUUCAGUAACAGCGUAAGAAAGUCACAAAACCGAAAAAUUGAAGAUUGUUCAAAUACGCAAGCGGCUGAUAAUCAUGGACUUGAGCACUAUGAAGCUUUAGAUACUAACACCAUUCAGAAGGAAAAAAUUUAUGAAGUUCCUACCGAGGUCGGGUUAGAGACAUACGAAAAU